UACGUAGGGUGCGAGCGUUAAUCGGAAUUACUGGGCGUAAAGCGUGCGCAGGCGGUCUGUUAAGACCGAUGUGAAAUCCCCGGGCUUAACCUGGGAACUGCAUUGGUGACUGGCAGGCUUUGAGUGUGGCAGAGGGAGGUAGAAUUCCACGUGUAGCAGUGAAAUGCGUAGAGAUGUGGAGGAAUACCGAUGGCGAAGGCAGCCUCCUGGGCCAACACUGACGCUCAUGCACGAAAGCGUGGGGGAGCAAAACAGG
rnacentral:rRNA from 1 species